GAAACAACUUUCAAAAUUUUGCAAACAAGAAAGAAAAAUGCAAUGAGUAGCUAUAGUGUUGUUAUAAGCCCUAGGCCCUUUUAAGUGGCAAGUGCUAGUGGAGCCUAUGUGAAAGGUGCAAGUUCUAAAAUGUAGAUGCUUGCUUGAGGCUAAGCAUCGCACCUAAGCAAAAUUAGGUGGCAUGUGUUUCAAUAAAACAAGGUUUAUAACCAUGGUUAUCAAAACUAGAUUGGAUCAGUCGGUUGGACUGGUUUAAGCGGGAACCAGACUAAUGACCAGCUUACAUGGUUUUAAAUUGCAUCCACGGCCACGGUCAUGAGUAGCAAAAAUUGGCCUAUAGCGGUUGUAAUAUAAUGGUAACGGCCUAGCGCUAUGCAAAUUUUUU
rnacentral:misc_RNA from 1 species